CUCAUAUUCAGGAGGAACUUCCUGGGCAUGAGCUCCUGCCCAUUGCCUGGCACCACCGAGCAGAGCCUGGCUCCAGCCUCCUGACACCCUGCCUUCAGAUUCUGGACAGACUGACUCAGGCCCUGGGGCUGGCCAGAUUUCUUUUGUGAAAUGUCUAUCUUGAAGCUGGCACAGUGUCUUCAAGAGCUUUCUAAAUUUGAACAAAGUUCAGGAAAGUCUCUGAUACUGAAGCAGACUUGGGGAGAAGGAUUGAACAGUGAGACUGAUAAAGUGAUCUUGUGGGAUCAAAGAAGAGGUGGAUGACAUUGAAACUGAAAAGUGUUUUCUCUGUCAGCCUGACAGUUGGAUAACAUCUUGCUGAGGUUGUGAACAUAUGGACUGUCCUCCAGCUGUGAUACACACACAAAGCAAUUCUCUUUGCAGUCAUCAUCUCUGAGAGCACAGACACAGCAGAUGCAGACAACUACAACAGUUGACCAUCACUUGCAGAACAAACCCGAGGAAAAAAGAUCUUUCUAGAUACUGUGCUGCUGAAAACCUACCACUAAGAACCCCAAAAAUACCCAACUUAACAAAGAUAAACAAACAAACAAUGCCAGCUCUGUGAGAUUUCUGCAGUGAAGAAAGACUGGGGGUUACUGUGUUUUUGUAAAAUAAUCAAGACCAUUAUAAUUAAUAUUGCCUUCUAACAGGAACAGCAACAACUAGAAGAACACCAGACAUUGACAAACAGCUCAUAUGUAAAGAACCAAAGGAUAUUCAUAUUACAGACUUUUUUGUUUCUGUGGUACUGGGUAAUUUUAUUUUCGAGUUUUUAGCUCAUUCACUGUCAAAAUUAGCACAUUUUCACUUGAAGAAACCAAGACACUUUGAAGCAAAGUGUAUCUUAAAAAGACCACCUUAACAGUAAACAGUUGAAAUUUUACUUGGAGCAUAAGGGUUACUUCCAAACGUGAAAUUAUUAAUGUGAGCUAUUCAAAAUAAAAGCAAAUUCUGAUUAAAAAAACAA